rnacentral:rRNA from 1 species
UACGAAGGGGGCUAGCGUUGCUCGGAAUCACUGGGCGUAAAGGGUGCGUAGGCGGGUCUUUAAGUCAGGGGUGAAAUCCUGGAGCUCAACUCCAGAACUGCCUUUGAUACUGAAGAUCUUGAGUUCGGGAGAGGUGAGUGGAACUGCGAGUGUAGAGGUGAAAUUCGUAGAUAUUCGCAAGAACACCAGGGGCGAAGGCGGCUCACUGGCCGAUACUGACGCUGAGGCACGAAAGCGUGGGGAGCAAACAGG